ACUAUAUGAUUUUUGUUUAGAUGGCCCCUAUCUCGAAAAACUUAUUUGUCCAGUCCCUUUACUAAUAUUUUUAGCGAUUUUAAUGCCUUUUUAAAGAGAGUGUAUCCCACUCUCCGUUAAAUAACAAAAUUUGCCGUUAACUAAUAAAAUUGCCGUUAACUCUAAAAGUAUAUUUGUAUAAUAAAGUCAAAUAAUGCCACAUCACAAUUCUUUUAAUAAUAAAUGAAAACUGACAGGGGUAAAGUUGGUAUUUAACCAUCUCCUCCAACCAAUUCAUCGUCUUCUCCAAAUUUCAGCAACCUUAACCACAACAUACCUCCACUAUCCUUUCUCCAAAUCCCAGCCACCAUAACCAUAACGCACCUCCACUAUCCUUUCUCCAAAUCUCAUCCACAUAAAUGAAGACAUCCUGUCAAAAUCUUACAAACUCAACGACCACCACCUCAUCGUCAAGCUUCCUACGCCGUGGCUACUCAUUCGAGUCCGUCCUUGAUUGUAAGGUCGUCAUCCUAGGCUUUCGCUCUUAUCCUGAAACUAAACCCCUUGUAUCAUUACAAAAUCAUAGUUAAAAACAUUGAUACCAGACUCUUCGAUACACGAUGUCGCUCUCAGUUGUAAUCGAUCUUUAGACAACAAUUCACCUUGCGCGGCAUGUACUAGGAAGGAGCUGUUGCCGUGGAAGCCAAAGACGCCGCCGUUAGAUCAGAUUUAGAGGUGGCCGUUGUGGGAGGAGAGAGAAGCUGCCUUGGUGUCUAGAGAUUUUGUAACUGCUUGCGUGGUGGAGCUGUUGAGCGCUGGAGGCUGCUGCUUGUGGAAGACCUGCUGCCGUGGAUCUUGAAGUAGCUGGGGCUGCUGGACGUGGAAUUUUUUUUCCAUCUGGAUAUUAUUUUUUUCCCAUGUGGAUUUCAUGUCACAUUCCUUUUCUUACACACUCUCACUAAACGGAGAUUGAGAUACACUCUCUGCAUUCCGUCCAGAUAAGGGCAUUAAAAUCGCAAAAAUGUUAGUAGAGGGACUGGACAAAUAAGUUUUUCGAGAUAAGGACUACCUGAACAAAAGUCGUAUAGUACAUGGGCUUUAAUAUGGGUUUGGCCAAAUUUGUAAGGACCCCUUAAGUUUUAGACAUGUGGGAUGUAUCAUGUUGGGUUCAUUCAGCUACUUGAUAUAGAUUUUGGGCCUAAAAGUAAAUAACGGGCUACAAAAGCCUAAUCUGAAAUGGCAUUUACGCUAGACAUAUAAUCCCACAUCGUUCAAAUUAAAGCUUUCAUAAGACUUAAUAAACAAAUGCGCGAACAGCUCUGUUUGUCCCUUCGGGGACAUCCGAUAAAAUUGGAACGAUACAGAGAAGAUUAGCAUGGCCCCUGCGCAAGGAUGACACGCAUAAAUCGAGAAAUGGUCCAAAUUUUUUUUCUUCCCGAUUUCUUACUGUUUUCAUCAGUCACGCAUUACAUCAAACACAUUGUGUGCAUUCCUUUGAGUUGAUUUUCAGCCGUUUUGCUUAUUUAUUUAGCUCUGUGGAUGGUGAUUUUGGUUCGGUUCAGCUCUGAUUCUCCAUGUUCCUGGUCUGAUUACCAACAGCAGGUCAGUUUAUACUUCUCUCAAACUUCGUGGAUGGUGAUUUUGGUUCGGUUCAGCUCUGAUUCUCCAUGUUCCUGGUCUGAUUACCAACAGCAGUAACAGCUCCUUUCUUCCUCCAAUCAACAAACGCCGGAAGAUUAUCGGUAUCCUCAUGGCUAAACCGAGUUAGCCUCCUCGGACCAUGGAGCAUCCUAUAAUGGCUAACUUUGGAGCCACCAUAGUGUUGAAUGAACUCAUGGUUUUCUUUGAACACAUUGAAACGUUGAGCUUUCUCCGUGAGGCUUCGAGAGACGGUGUGGUGGCUACGCCAUCGCUCGUAUAAGCUCCGAAGACUCUCUUCGGAAGCUAAAUCUUCGUCUUUGUAGUCGAAACUCUGAGCUACCUUCAGGAGCAGGACUAAGGAAAGUGCUAACAGGAUAAUGUUUUUAGUAUCCAUAAUGAAUACUUGACUUAGUAGAAUCAAGAAAUGGGUUUGUUGCCUUAUUGGUUGAUAUAGCUUAGUAGUGCGAGGAUGUUCUUAUAUACUACUCGUAAGCGGUUUAAGAGCCGAACCGGACUGGCUGGUUCAACUAGUUCAAUGUAAACCAAAGAUGUGUCUGAUUUGGUUUUCUUUUUUAAACGAAACCACAGCUCAAACUCUUUGAACCGAAAAAAUAGCAAAACCAAAAACUAUCGAACCAAAAAAUCAUCCAAUUGCUUAUUUACUAA